UUAAGAAGAUUCUUCGGAUGAUUCUUAAUUGACUGAGCGGCGGACGGGUGAGUAACGCGUGGGUGACCUGCCCCAUACCGGGGGAUAACAGCUGGAAACGGCUGCUAAUACCGCAUAAGCGCACAGGACCGCAUGGUCCGGUGUGAAAAACUCCGGUGGUAUGAGAUGGACCCGCGUCUGAUUAGCUAGUUGGUAAGGUAACGGCUUACCAAGGCGACGAUCAGUAGCCGACCUGAGAGGGUGACCGGCCACAUUGGGACUGAGACACGGCCCAAACUCC
rnacentral:rRNA from 1 species